UGAAGAAUUAUGAGAGUGUUAGUCCAGAAACAGCUGCAAGGUCACAAUCCGUCAUCUAUGGUGUAAACAGAAGAUGUCAUUACACUAAUGAAAUUACAUGUCACCAAUCGUUUAAAACGGAUCUUGGAUUUCAUGUGGUUUUGUAUUUCUCAGAAGAAAAUACAUAGUAGAACUCUCAGAAUUCUAUAUCUCAAUGAUCUUACCUAUGUAUUAUUGGUUGUAACAAUGGUUAGAUUGAAUUAUUUUGCACAAAGUUUACAAAUAGUGCUUAAUAUCCAAAGCCUAUAAAACAUGGUGCAUUAGAAAUUGAAGAUAUGGUUUUCAUCCUAAUUCUGCCACAGCUGUAAGUUAAGCACCGGGCAAAGUCUAU